AGAGUUUGAUCCUGGCUCAGAACGAACGCUGGCGGCGUGGAUAAGACAUGCAAGUCGAACGAGAGAAUUGCUAGCUUGCUAAUAAUUCUCUAGUGGCGCACGGGUGAGUAACACGUGAGUAACCUGCCCCCGAGAGCGGGAUAGCCCUGGGAAACUGGGAUUAAUACCGCAUAGUAUCGAAAGAUUAAAGCAGCAAUGCGCUUGGGGAUGGGCUCGCGGCCUAUUAGUUAGUUGGUGAGGUAACGGCUCACCAAGGCGAUGACGGGUAGCCGGUCUGAGAGGAUGUCCGGCCACACUGGAACUGAGACACGGUCCAGACACCUACGGGUGGCAGCAGUCGAGAAUCAUUCACAAUGGGGGAAACCCUGAUGGUGCGACGCCGCGUGGGGGAAUGAAGGUCUUCGGAUUGUAAACCCCUGUCAUGUGGGAGCAAAUUAAAAAGAUAGUACCACAAGAGGAAGAGACGGCUAACUCUGUGCCAGCAGCCGCGGUAAUACAGAGGUCUCAAGCGUUGUUCGGAAUCACUGGGCGUAAAGCGUGCGUAGGCUGUUUCGUAAGUCGUGUGUGAAAGGCGCGGGCUCAACCCGCGGACGGCACAUGAUACUGCGAGACUAGAGUAAUGGAGGGGGAACCGGAAUUCUCGGUGUAGCAGUGAAAUGCGUAGAUAUCGAGAGGAACACUCGUGGCGAAGGCGGGUUCCUGGACAUUAACUGACGCUGAGGCACGAAGGCCAGGGGAGCGAAAGGGAUUAGAUACCCCUGUAGUCCUGGCAGUAAACGGUGCACGCUUGGUGUGCGGGGAAUCGACCCCCUGCGUGCCGGAGCUAACGCGUUAAGCGUGCCGCCUGGGGAGUACGGUCGCAAGAUUAAAACUCAAAGAAAUUGACGGGGACCCGCACAAGCGGUGGAGUAUGUGGCUUAAUUCGAUGCAACGCGAAGAACCUUACCUGGGCUUGACAUGUAAUGAACAACAUGUGAAAGCAUGCGACUCUUCGGAGGCGUUACACAGGUGCUGCAUGGCCGUCGUCAGCUCGUGUCGUGAGAUGUUUGGUUAAGUCCAGCAACGAGCGCAACCCCUGUUGCCAGUUACCAGCACGUGAAGGUGGGGACUCUGGCGAGACUGCCCAGAUCAACUGGGAGGAAGGUGGGGACGACGUCAGGUCAGUAUGGCCCUUAUGCCCAGGGCUGCACACGUACUACAAUGCCCAGUACAGAGGGGGCCGAAGCCGCGAGGCGGAGGAAAUCCUAAAAACUGGGCCCAGUUCGGACUGUAGGCUGCAACCCGCCUACACGAAGCCGGAAUCGCUAGUAAUGGCGCAUCAGCUACGGCGCCGUGAAUACGUUCCCGGGUCUUGUACACACCGCCCGUCACAUCAUGGAAGCCGGUCGCACCCGAAGUAUCUGAAGCCAACCGCAAGGAGGCAGG
rnacentral:rRNA from 1 species